AGUGCAUGUGGUGGAUGCCUUGGCAGUCAGAGGCGAUGAAAGACGUGAUAGCCUGCGAAAAGCUCCGGGGAGGCGGCAAAUAUCCUUUGAUCCGGAGAUGUCUGAAUGGGGGAACCCACCUACUUUAAGGUAGGUAUUGCAACAUGAAUACAUAGUGUUGCAAGGCGAACGAGGGGAAGUGAAACAUCUCAGUACCCUUAGGAAAAGAAAUCAAUUGAGAUUCCCUCAGUAGCGGCGAGCGAACGGGGAUCAGCCCAUUAAGUUAUGUGUGUUUUAGUGGAACGCUCUGGGAAGUGCGAACGUAGAGGGUGAUAUUCCCGUACACGAAAGGGCACACAUAAUGAUGACGAGUAGGGCGAGGCACGUGAAACCUUGUCUGAAUAUGGGGGGACCAUCCUCCAAGGCUAAAUACUCCUGACUGACCGAUAGUGAACCAGUACCGUGAGGGAAAGGCGAAAAGAACCCCUGUGAGGGGAGUGAAAUAGAUCCUGAAACCGCAUGCAUACAAGCAGUGGGAGCACCUUCGUGGUGUGACUGCGUACCUUUUGUAUAAUGGGUCAGCGACUUAUAUUCAGUAGCGAGGUUAACCGUAUAGGGGAGCCGUAGAGAAAUCGAGUCUUAAUAGGGCGUUUAGUUGCUGGGUAUAGACCCGAAACCAGGCGAUCUAUCCAUGAGCAGGUUGAAGGUUGGGUAACACUAACUGGAGGACCGAACCCACUGUCGUUGAAAAGCCAGGGGAUGACUUGUGGAUAGGGGUGAAAGGCUAAUCAAGCCUGGUGAUAGCUGGUUCUCCCCGAAAGCUAUUUAGGUAGCGCCUCGGACGAAUACCAUAGGGGGUAGAGCACUGUUUCGGCUAGGGGGUCAUCCCGACUUACCAAACCGAUGCAAACUCCGAAUACCUAUGAGUACUAUCCGGGAGACAGACUGCGGGUGCUAACGUCCGUAGUCAAGAGGAAAACAAUCCAGACCGCCAGCUAAGGCCCCAAAAUCAUAGUUAAGUGGGAAACGAUGUGGGAAGGCAUAGACAGCUAGGAGGUUGGCUUAGAAGCAGCCACCCUUUAAAGAAAGCGUAAUAGCUCACUAGUCGAGUCGGCCUGCGCGGAAGAUGUAACGGGGCUAAAACUAUGUGCCGAAGCUGCGGAUGUAUACUUUGUAUACGUGGUAGGGGAGCGUUCUGUAAGCCGAUGAAGGUGUGUUGAGAAGCAUGCUGGAGGUAUCAGAAGUGCGAAUGCUGACGUGAGUAACGACAAAACGGGUGAAAAACCCGUUCGCCGAAAGACCAAGGGUUCCAGUCCAACGUUAAUCGGGGCUGGGUGAGUCGACCCCUAAGGCGAGGCCGAAAGGCGUAGUCGAUGGGAAAAUGGUUAAUAUUCCAUUACUUCUGUGUAAUGCGAUGAGAGGACGGAGAAGGCUAAAUCAGCCUGGCGUUGGUUGUCCAGGUGAAAGGAUGUAGGCAUGUAUCUUAGGCAAAUCCGGGGUACUCUAUGCUGAGAUCUGAUAGCAAGCUGUACUUGUACAGCGAAGUGGUUGAUGCCAUGCUUCCAGGAAAAGUCUCUAAGCUUCAGUUACACAGGAAUCGUACCCGAAACCGACACAGGUGGUCAGGUCGAGUAGACCAAGGCGCUUGAGAGAACUCUGCUGAAGGAACUAGGCAAAAUGGUACCGUAACUUCGGGAGAAGGUACGCUGUUGUUGGUGAUGGAACUCGCUUCCUGAGCUGACGACAGCCGCAGAAACCAGGCCGCUGCAACUGUUUAUUAAAAACAUAGCACUCUGCAAACACGAAAGUGGACGUAUAGGGUGUGAUGCCUGCCCGGUGCUGGAAGGUUAAUUGAUGGGGUUAGCGUAAGCGAAGCUCUUGAUCGAAGCCCCAGUAAACGGCGGCCGUAACUAUAACGGUCCUAAGGUAGCGAAAUUCCUUGUCGGGUAAGUUCCGACCUGCACGAAUGGCAUAAUGAUGGCGGCGCUGUCUCCAGCAGAGGCUCAGUGAAAUCGAAAUCGCUGUGAAGAUGCAGUGUACCCGCGGCUAGACGGAAAGACCCCGUGAACCUUUACUGCAGCUUGACACUGAACUUUGACCUUACUUGUGUAGGAUAGGUGGGAGGCUUUGAAGCUGGAACGCUAGUUCCAGUGGAGCCGUCCUUGAAAUACCACCCUGGUAAUGUUGAGGUUCUAACUCUGUCCCGUGAUCCGGGACGAGGACCGUGUCUGGUGGGUAGUUUGACUGGGGCGGUCUCCUCCUAAAGAGUAACGGAGGAGUACGAAGGUGCGCUCAGCGUGGUCGGAAAUCACGCGUAGAGUAUAAAGGCAAAAGCGCGCUUAACUGCGAGACCCACAAGUCGAGCAGGUACGAAAGUAGGUCUUAGUGAUCCGGUGGUUCUGUAUGGAAGGGCCAUCGCUCAACGGAUAAAAGGUACUCUGGGGAUAACAGGCUGAUACCGCCCAAGAGUUCAUAUCGACGGCGGUGUUUGGCACCUCGAUGUCGGCUCAUCUCAUCCUGGGGCUGAAGCAGGUCCCAAGGGUAUGGCUGUUCGCCAUUUAAAGAGGUACGCGAGCUGGGUUUAGAACGUCGUGAGACAGUUCGGUCCCUAUCUACCGUGGGCGCUGGAAAUUUGAGAGGAUCUGCUCCUAGUACGAGAGGACCAGAGUGGAC
rnacentral:rRNA from 1 species